UACCAAGGUGAUUCCCUCUCCAAGAGGCCUAAUAGUGCCCCUCUUCAGGAAAGUAGCAACUUGGUAUAAAAUCUGGCAUGCCUCAGGUUUUUCAGUGGAGAAGGUGAAUUGUCAUUGCCUUUGCCUUUCUUUGGCUGCCUACAUAU